CCACACCCCGCGGCCUUGUCCGGCCUGGUGCGGGGAGGAGGCCGAGACGGAGCCCUGUUACCUCUUCAGAAGCUGGAAACCAAAGAGAGCAAGAAAUUCCCGGAUUUACAUCUUAAGGUGGUGUUCACAGGUUGAUCUCACUUUUCAAUGCUCAAAACCAGUCAAUUCUCAGAAAUGGCCAGUUAUUGGCCAGGAGAAAAAACUCCCAUUAGCCUCCAGCAGUUUUAACUUCUUUAGCUCUCAAAGCUAGUUUUAAAGGUGCAGAACUUAAUAUAUAACAUAAACCAGGCAAUUGGAGAUAUCAGUAUUAUAAAGUCACCCCAGGACACCUCUGCUGGGUGGAGAGAAGGAAACUUACUGGUCUAAGGUAGAGACACCAAUAAUUGGAUUGUUAAAUAUUCAGAUUUAUUAGCAGCAAUCAGAAGAACAAUUGAAUUGUUUUAAUCAUAAUCUCUUCCCAUUACUCACAUUCUCUUCCUACCAGUGACUAAUGGUGGUAAGAAAAGAAAAGAACCUAAUGGGGACAUCUUGAAACAGGGAUGCUGUAGAGCCAAUGGCAGGAGUUGACUGGAAAGAGAGACCUAUCAAUUGUCAGGAGGGUAGGUCCAAGGAAAUCUGUAGAAGAGGAUGCACUACAUGUCACUUCAUGGCAUGCUUGAGAAGAGUGCCUUUUAGGCAGAACUCUGAGAAGGAUGAAUAUGUAUUAUCCUCAGCCUGAAAUGCUCGUUCACCCUCUCUGAGCUCCUCAGUUGUGCCCAUGCUCAGUCCUGGAGACAAUGCUGCUUCCUAAUCUGCAAGGCACUCUGCUGGCUGCUUCCUCUGGAGGACAUCCCUUUCUCAUGCUAUUCAUGGGAUUUCCAAACAAUGAAAUUUGCUACUAUAUAGCUGCUUAACUGAAAAUAACCUAGUGCUAAAUAGCUCUGAUUGUUUUUUAAUGUUUGUGUGAGGAGGGAAAGGAGGCUUUACAAACACUGCUGGUAUGAGGGGUCACUUGUCAUUGAGGAACCACAGCUGUAUCACUUACAACCAUUAGGAACUGCAACCAUGGUGGCAGCCAAUAAGAUCAGAAUAAGAACACAAUAAAUACCUGUUGCCUUAUCCUCUGAUUUAUUGC
rnacentral:lncRNA from 1 species